CGAUGGGGCGGGGCGACACUUCGAGGCCCAUAUUUGUUUUCCCCGCCUUUGACAUUUUCCUCCGAGCCAGCAGGGGGCAGUUUGCGUUGAAACAAACAGAACGGUGGCAACUACAGCAGCAGAGUAAUAACGCUAUUCCGUUGAUUGCUUGAGAGCUCAACCACUGAGGGGAGGAACUUCACCAUUCACCAUGUCUUCAGGCAGAGUCCAGCAAAGCAGCUUCCACUGGAAAUCCUCAGGGAAAUUAUUUUGUUGGCGGGUGACUCUGCAUAUUUGACCCUUUCUCUGGUUUGCAGAUGGUUUAGGGAUGUGCUCCGAAGUUUUUCGGAAAGCGGCAAAGUUUGCCUGGCUAGAGAUUGUGGCCAACUGGAAGAAUUGUCCUCCUGUCUCCUGACCGGAACGAGUUCAGACGGAUGUACAGCAUCAAGGAAUGCUUGCAGUGCAGAGCCCUUUUCAAGUUUAACCCACCAGGGUACAGGGAAGAGACCGGCGUGAUCUUCUGGGCUUUUGUUUACACAGGAUUUUGUUCCAAGGACUGUUUUUUUUUUUUUUUUUGCGGCAUGAAACUGAAACUUCAUUGAAGGGAAAUAGAGAAUGGACUGAGAUCAACUGGUUUUGAUGUAUUAAUUGAUGUCAUUUAAAGUUAAACUUUGCAGUGUAUAAUGUUUUAAUAAAAAAGCUAUGGAAAACACGUGCAUGACAACAGGUUUCAGUCAUUUACAUCAGUCUAUCAUUCUUUAAGGUUUCUCAUAUUUGAUGAUAACAUCAUUUGCUA